rnacentral:rRNA from 1 species
AGACCCGAAACCCGGUGAUCUAGCCAUGGGCAGGUUGAAGGUUGGGUAACACUAACUGGAGGACCGAACCGACUAAUGUUGAAAAAUUAGCGGAUGACCUGUGGCUGGGGGUGAAAGGCCAAUCAAACCGGGAGAUAGCUGGUUCUCCCCGAAAGCUAUUUAGGUAGCGCCUCGUGAAUUCAUCUCCGGGGGUAGAGCACUGUUUCGGCUAGGGGGCCAUCCCGGCUUACCAACCCGAUGCAAACUGCGAAUACCGGAGAAUGUUAUCACGGGAGACACACGGCGGGUGCUAACGUCCGUCGUGAAGAGGGAAACAACCCAGACCGCCAGCUAAGGUCCCAAAGUCAUGGUUAAGUGGGAAACGAUGUGGGAAGGCCCAGACAGCCAGGAUGUUGGCUUAGAAGCAGCCAUCAUUUAAAGAAAGCGUAAUAGCUCACUGGUCGAGUCGGCCUGCGCGGAAGAUGUAACGGGGCUAAACCAUGCACCGAAGCUGCGGCAGCGACGCUGAUGCGUUGUUGGGUAGGGGAGCGUUCUGUAAGCCUGUGAAGGUGUGUCGUGAGGCAUGCUGGAGGUAUCAGAAGUGCGAAUGCUGACAUAAGUAACGAUAAAGCGGGUGAAAAGCCCG